ACUCUUCAACCCAUCAGUUUCUUGUAAACUGGGUGGUGUUUGGAUUUUGAGCGUUGCUGGAUCUUCGGAUCGAAGCUCGUUCGUAAUACAUUAGCAUCUCUAAUUCGAACUCGGAUUGACUCAGUGUAAUAGACUAUUCGCUGAGGACACGUGCUUGCAUGUGGCCGAAUGAGAUCUCAGUAGAGGCUUCCAACCCUUCUAGUCAACUUUAG
rnacentral:misc_RNA from 1 species